UGCGUAGGCGGAACAAUAAGUCAGCGGUGAAAGCCUGCAGCUUAACUGUAGAAUUGCCGUUGAUACUGUUGUUCUUGAGUACGUUUGACGUGGGCGGAAUGUGCCGUGUAGCGGUGAAAUGCUUAGAUAUGGCACAGAACACCGAUAGUGAAGACAGCUCACGAAGACGAAACUGACGCUGAGGCACGAAAGCGUGGGGAUCAAACAGGAUUAGAUACCCUGGUAGUCCACGCCGUAAACGAUGAUCACUCGUGAUCGGCGAUAUACUGUCGGUCACCUAGCGAAAGCGUUAAGUGAUCCACCUGGGGAGUACGAUCGCAAGAUUGAA
rnacentral:rRNA from 1 species